UGGAGGAAGAGGAGCACGAGCCCGCCUCCGCGUGGCCGCAGACUGCGCUACUGCGCAGGCUCAGUAGCAGCGGGAUUCUGAACCUGAGCAGCAGGCUACCUCGUCUCUUCCCAGUCAAGAGUACCCGUACAAGUAACUGUAUAGCACUCAGCCUACUCUACGUAAUGAUGCAGUUUAUGUUGCUUUUUAGUCGCCAGGGAAAGCUCCGACUUCAAAAAUGGUAUGUCCCACUAUCGGACAAAGAAAAGAAAAAAAUCACAAGAGAACUUGUUCAAACAGUUUUAGCCCGUAAACCCAAAAUGUGCAGCUUUUUGGAGUGGCGAGAUCUGAAGAUUGUCUACAAAAGAUAUGCUAGCCUGUAUUUCUGCUGUGCUAUUGAAGAUCAGGACAACGAACUAAUUACCUUGGAAAUAAUUCAUCGUUAUGUUGAACUACUUGACAAAUAUUUUGGCAGUGUAUGUGAACUUGAUAUCAUCUUUAAUUUUGAGAAAGCUUAUUUUAUUUUGGAUGAAUUUCUUUUGGGAGGAGAAGUUCAGGAAACAUCUAAGAAAAAUGUACUUAAAGCCAUUGAACAGGCAGAUCUGCUCCAAGAGCCACGCCAUGAAUACUUUAAUGUCCCUGUGUACUAAAUGACAUCAUUCAUCGAGUAUGCAGAAUUUCACAGAGGAAAUAGAGCUGAUUUACUUAUGACAGAACAGCUGGUGAAACAAAUCAUCUCGAACAUAGAAUAUCAUAACUAUUUUACUGUUAUACUUUGUCCUCCCUGUUUAUAUCCCCAUGUUUACAUUGUGUUUUUCCCCCAUGUCAUUUUGAUGUAGUUUGUUCCUGUCAUUGUCUGGUUUAAUUUUUCCAUGAAAUAUAUGACGUUUAUGUUUAGAGUAAACUUUUUCACCUUAAGCAUAUAUUUGUUAUUAAUCAACCAUCUGUGGUUAAUUUCAUAGUUAAAGGAAAAUGUUCUAAUAUAGCCAAAAUUAGUAGUAUAUGGCCCACUGAAGGUAAACCUAAACUAGCAGUAUUAGUAUGUAGAAUAGUGCUUGUUUUUCAAAUUGAUAAUCUCAAAUGAAUGUGUCAUAUAACUCUAUAGUUAAGUAUAUAUAGAUAUAGCAAAGAAAAAGUAUAGAUUGAAACUCCAAGGAAUAUUGUAUAGUGGUUAACACACAAAAAUGAUUUGUCAUUUAUUAGACUGGUACACAGAAGGGUAAAAUUCUGCAUUUAUUAAAAGAUUUAAUUAAAGAAUUGUCUUUUUGCACUGGAUGCUAGCUAGUAUCAAACAGUAACAAUUCUCUGAAAACUUUUUACUCCUGCUUACAUUUAUAAGGAUAGCACCUUAGAGAAAAAGUCUAAAUAUGUACAUUUUGAUAGUUCUGAUUUUAUGUUUUUGAAAUGCAUUAAAACCUUCAUACUCACUUCAGUGAUCGAUAUUUAGACUUUUAGUUCAAUAUAAUAGUUCAUAAGGAAAAAUUCCAUAUAGUUUCAUAUUUUGAAGAACAAAUCAAUAAGCCAUUAAGGUGAUUAUCACCUCCAAAAUGAUUAUUUAUUCAGACCAAUCAUUGUGACAAUUUGUCAAAGUAGAGUAGGCAAGUCAUUAGGAAUUUAGUUAUUUGUGUUUUUAUAAAUCAUAAUACUUGUACUAUCACAAAGAGUUAAUCUAUAUUGUAUUCUAGAACUUUAGUUACAAUAUUUUUUCCUAACAAUAUUUUUUCCUAAGAAAAGUAUUUUUAAGAUAAUACAGUAUUUAAUGUAAUGUUAACAUGCACGUUAUCAUGCCUGUUAGCCAAAAAUGCUGUGUGCUGAGCUGUAUCAAAAUGUUGCUUCUCCUAUUCUUUGUAUAUAGCUGCUUGCUUUAAAUUAUUACAUUCUGAAAUAGCUUUCUUGGCAUGUCUAAAAUAAAAAUAUUGCAUGCACCCUGUCUCAUGUGAAUGGCUUUCUCCACCUUAUCUCAUCUACUCAGGAGAAUUUGUUUUAGAUUUCAUUGUGUCCAGGUAAUGUUUUAUAUAUACAUAUGUAUGUGUAUAUGUAUAUAUAUGUACAUAAAUUUAUAAAAGCGUAUUCUAUGUCAGUGGGGUCAAACUCCCAGAGAAAUGGAUCCCUGCAGGCUGCAUAAUAACUUAGAAAACCACAUAUUAACAUUAUCUGUAUCAUUAUAUACUUUUAUUUUGUUAAACAUUUCCCAGUUAUAUUUUAACUAUUUUUGAACAACACUCAUGCAAUUGACACCUGUGUUCUACAUUAACUGCUGUAAUCCAAAUUAGCAAAUGCAUGUUAAAAAAUUUUUAAAACCACUAUUGGUUUUCAGCAAAUAAUCUAAGAUGACAAAAUGAAACAUAGGGUCUUACUAACUCCAGGAAAUAGCUCUUUCAUGGUAGCUUUUAAUUGAGUAGCUAGCAUAUAACCAGUGCCAAAAUAGGAUUCUGUUGGGUUUCAUACAAGUGUGAUUACUUGACCUAGUGGGCUGGAAUGAACAGCAUUAAAAAUGUGUGUGUGUGUGUGUGUACAUUUUUUUCCUCUUGUCAUCACGAUGAAGAAUUUUUUAAUGAAUUUGUUCAGUUACUCUGACCCAUUUCAGCAUUUUAUCCUAAACUUUUGUCAUCUUCACAAGUAACAGUGGACAAACUUAACUAGACAAACAUUCUGCUUCUACACAUAUCAAUGCACAUAAACAUAAUGGUGUCAAAAAGCAUAUGUAUUUAUUCCUAAAGGUUGGUUUAUGUGGCCAAAUACCUGUAUUCAGAUUGAACAUAAAACUUUAUAAUUUGUCACUUAAAGGUGUAAUUUCUAAAUAUUUACCAUUUAAUAUCUUUCUUUUCCUUGCUUUGUGCUGCACCACAUUUUAGGAUGCUAAAGAAGCUGAAACCCCACGUAGUGUUCUUGAAGAAAUUGGACUGACAUAAGCCAUCUCCCAUGUUGAUGACAUCAUGUGUUCUCACAUACUGUAGAUGUUCACUGCCUUCAUGUCAAUGUUUAGCUUAUGGUGUAAGAUGCUGUUUGUCAGUAUUACUGUUUUGCUAAGCCGCUUCAUUCAGGCCUACAUAAAAACACUCCACUUUUCAAAAGGGAAUAAAAAGUAUUUUUUUUUUAAAAAGGGACUUACUCAAAUGUUAACUAAAACUUGAUGCAAAAGAAAUAAUCUUUUCAGUGUUCUUAAUAGUUGAAUUAUGUCAGUUUCCCAUUAGUUUUAUUUGUAUGUGAUAAUUAUGAAUAUACACAUAAAAUCACAAUCAGGAAGCACAUUUGUUGCUUUGAAUCAGGAAGCACAUUUGUCGCGUUGAACUGCAUUCAACUGAAAGGAAGCUACACUUGUUAUCAAUUUGAAAAUAAAUGUAAUAAUGUUUCAAUAUGGUUUUAUGCAACCAAAGACUAGUAUUACACUUCAGUAUUUAUGGGAAUGAAAAAAAUUGACUGAUUUCACAUAUCAAAAUGAUUUAAAUUUUACCAUUACCACUGAAACUUAAACAUACAUAUGUAUACCAAAGAUACUUAUUGGGAAUUACAUAUUUUAAACUGGUAGCUUAUUGAAAAGUGUAUGUUUCUGAGACUAAAGGGAUAUUAAAGGGAAUACAGGUUACUUUAAUCAAAACAAUUCUAUUUUACACUGGCCAGUGGGCAGGAAUUUGGAUUGAAGAUGUUCAACAUGAGCACAUAAUGUACACUAUGAAAAUGGUUAAACAUUUUCUAUGUAAGAUUUCUCUGAGCAUAAUCUUACAACUUAUUUUUAUGCCCCCCAAAACAUUCUACUGCCACUAUGUACCUCAUUUCUCCAUAAGCUAUGGGAAACAUCUACUUAAAUAGGAUGUUAUAAAUUAAAAUACUCAAUUGCCUAGUAUUAUUGCUAUUUCAACACAAGCUUGCUUGUGUUCACAAAGUAUCACGUGAUUAAAACUUGCUCCAGGGUUGGUACUAUUCUGAUUAAAUUUUCCAUAUACUUUUCUAUGAAGUACCUACCACUAGUUUGACUUUUUUUUUUCUUUUAUGCCACCUCCCAGUCAGAAAAUAUUCUACAUAAUGUUUCAUGAAAAAUAUUAGAUGGAUGAGAUAAAUGGCAAUGUAGAGAAUUACUUUGUAAAGCUGUUUUAGUUUCAAUAUCAUUUUCAUAUGUAUUUAAACACGUCUUCAAAGUUUACACUUUCACUUAUUUGUAUGUGCUUGGCUGGAUUAAGCUUUGUGACUGUGACCAAUAUUUAGGCUGUGACCAUUGUCUUAUCACAUACAUUAGUUACAAUAAAUGUCCACUCUUACACCA